GAAGAGGUGCAGCAGCAGCGACUCUCCCUCCGGCGGCUGCAGCAGCAGAGCCAGGCACACUGCAAUCCCAUUAGUGAGUGGCGGCCACUACCCACUGAGUUGCUGGAAGUACUGACAAAUAGUUUUGUAAGUUAGAAGACAAGCAGGAUUCAAAGGUGAAAAAAUAUCUCUUCUCUGGAAAUUCAUUUCCAUUUACUUAAAGUUAAAUGGUUUGACUUUGAAUUUUCAUUAUCUGCUGUUGGAAGGAGUCUGUGACAGGUGAAGAAGAAUCUGUGAGUGGGAAUAAUGCAAAAUCAUUUGACUUUUGAGAGACUCCAAACUCUUCAAACCACUGUUAUAACACAUGAUGCUUGACGUUGCCAAUCAUUCUGUCUUCCUUUUACUUGAUCAAGAUUUUAUUUUCAAAGACAUAUUUGUAAACACCAAACGGAGAAGAGGGGAGGAAGGACAGAAAGUGGAGAACAGGAGGGAAAGGAAAUGCAGUUUUGCAGCUUCUUCUUGGUCCACGGAAGUGCUACUUUGGGAUGGUGGGUCAGGAAACUGAGUCUGAAUUUCUUCAAAUCUUUGUAAGAGGCAUCAGGAUACAUUCAGCUUCGGAAUCCUACCUGAUUUUAUCUGCCAAGAACAUCAUUCCAAAACCUGUAAAGGAUCCAAAAUGCAGCGGUGAAAGCAAUUUCUGGCACCUGUGGGAACAGCCAGCAUUUUUUCCAAUUUCUGUGUCUCCAAACCUUUAUACCAAACUAAUAGUUUUACUUCAUUUUGGCCAUAAUCUUAAAUGCUCCCAAACUCACUUGUGUUUUAUUUGAUUGAAGCAUGUUUAACUGAUUUUUUAGUUUGGAAUGCAGUGCUGUCUCCUCUACAAACUUUUCACUAAAAAUAAAAAGCAUAUAAGACAUAUUGACUAUUAAUUACCAAUGCAACCUAUAUUAUUUAAUCAGAAAUUUCAGUUGCCUUAGGCACUGGAGAAAUAAGAGAUGCUGCUGAGAAAUACGUUAUUUUGUAAAUGACACUACAUCAUCUGGUAUGCUGAACUCAUAAACGUAGUGGAAGAUGAACUUAUACUUCUGAGUGGGUCUAGUCAUUAGAAAUAGUUACAAGCAUCACAUAAUUUACACUGUUUAUAAGGCAAGCAGAAAUGGCUACAAAUAUACUAGCUAUAGAAUUCAACAAACCCUUGACUUUUAGAAAUUUUAAAUGAGAAGAAAUUUUCAACAUGUUUUGUAUGAUUAAGUAGUCUGAUUUCUUUAAUGGAUGUAUUGACUAAAGUCAGUUGAAACCACAAGCUCUCAGUACUGCUGAAAACCAGGACUAUUUUAGUUAAAGACACAAAUGAAGAUUUAGGAGACAGGUAUGACUAUAUAUAGCAUGUUGACUAUUGCUUCAAAUAAAACCAGAUGAGAAAAUGACAUGAAAUGCAACAUUAUUUUUGCCAAGCACAGUUUAGCAGAAAAUCUCUGCUAAAAUCCUGCUCUGAACAGGAAAAUCUUGUUCCCCAUCCAAGUUUGGAAGGGAAAGAGAACAGGUUCCUUUAUAAAUCUUGCUACUGAAAACACUACAGGCUUUCCCAGUUGUACAUGAUUGAGAAAGGAUUCUGAGACAGACAGGUACUCACAAGUCUAAGCUUAUUCUUGAGUAGCUGGUCUGUGAGCCAAAGCCAAAACAACUUUUUGAGGCUGAUCAUUUCUCUAUAUAAUACACUUAAAGUCUUAUGUUUUAUUGCAAGUGACAGAAAUAUAUAACUAAUUAUUUAGGCUCCCUUGCUGCUUUUGGAGGGCACUUUGCAGAGAAAAAAGCAUGCUUUUUGAAGUUCCAGACACAUAAAAGAAAUGUGGCAGACCACUUCUACUGACAAGCUAACAGACACAUAAAUUUCUGGCUAGACCUUACUCAAAUGAAACUUACUAAAACUUUCAUGAAAGAAUGCAAACUCUUUUUAUUGUUGGUUCUCAUUCUUUACAGCUCCAAAUCUCUCCUGACCCACAAAAUAGCUAUACAUUGUUAGUUUAGGAAAUCAGUUGUGCCAAUUAUUAGUCUCAUUAUAUCUGGUAUUUCAGGGGCUAGAACUAUGUGUUUACCUGAGAAUCUUGUGUUUAAUUUAAAAAGUAAGAUUCUGCUUCUGGCGCUCGUUGUUUUCUGUGAAAAGCUAGAAAACAUGAACUCAAGGGACUUAAAGAGGAAUAAAAAGCAUAAAUAAAUAAAAUAAACAUAUGUUUGUAGCUAUGAUGAUCUCAAGAAUUAGAAGUCCUUUUUUUUUAAUUUUCUUCGUCCACAUUUUGUGUUGCAACAGAAGAAAUAACAGGAGUAAGACACCCAGGCUUCCCCCUCUACAGCUCAGCAACUUGUGUUCAUUCCUUCACCCUUGAAGCUGAGGUUAGGCUACACUUGACUUUCUGUGAAAACCCCGAAAAGUCAUCUAAUCUCCAGGAGAUCAGUGAAGAAUGGAAAACUUACUUAUAGUGGAUUUCAGAUUUAAUGAGACAAAGAUGGUUCAAUAUAUAUGACAAAAUGAUGUGCUCUCACCAUAUUUGAUAGACAGGAAUUGAAGAUGAAAAGCUCUGUAUCUCUCAGCCACCCUUUCAGCUCUUUGAUCCUGACCUCCAGCUGCCUUACCAGGCUGCCGCUUUCAGGCGAGAGCAGGUCACGUGGACCUAACCCACUGUGCCCUACCAUUGUGUCUUGGAUCUUCUCUCCUAGGGUUUUCUAAUGCAUCAGAUAAAAAAAACAUAGAUUAGUCUUAUGUACCAAAACAUAUAUGGGUUAAUGUGCAACAAGAAGAAUCUGUUAAAUGACUAGAGAUGUGUUUUUUUAAAUAAUUAUGACUAAUAUCAAUCAGUUUCAUUCUUUGUGUCCUUGUUUCAAUCAAUUUCAUUUUUUGUACCCUUGUUUCUCACUUAUGCUGUUCUCUCUGGGUCACUGACUUUGCUAGAAGGAUUAUAAAUCAGUGUUUACCAAGAGCAAUUAAGGACAGAGGAGACAAAACGCUUCAUAACUUUGUAAACUAGUUACUCUACAGAAUUUGUCUGUGGCUUUAGAAACUUAUGACCAUAAGAGUUACAGGUUUCUAGGCAGCAACAGAAAAUAUGACAAUCACUGAGUUCACCAGACUCCUAUCCAAGGUACCAUCUAAAUUUUUUGGCAAAACACUGAGAUAUUUUUUGUGGUAUGAACUGUCAGGUCAUAAUUUCCAAACAUGUAGCCCUGAGGCUGUAUAGAGGAGCAGUUAGGUCACAAAACAGAUAGUUUGUUGUUAAAAGUGGAUGAACUCAUUCAGACACCAAAAAUCCUCACUGUUGCUGAACAUAAGGCAAAUUUUUAAGGCAACCAAAUUCAAAUUUCAGUUCUCCAUGUUAAGCAUCCACUUUAAAAUAAUGGACCCGAGUAAACCUUCACCUCUUAUUGCUAAUGAAACUAAUUUACUAUAGCUUUUCAAAUUAGUAUUUCUAAUAACAGAAUCACUGAAUUACAUUUUGAUAGUGGACGCUGGGUGCUUAAUGAGUAUUCUGAAGAGGCCAGGGAUAGAAAGCUACCUUCCUUUUCAGUGUUUUGAAAGGCAAUCCUUUAACAUCACAAGGGAGAUGUGCUGUUGCCUGCUUCUUCUAUGCCAAGCAGUAUUUUAUCUGACCUAUAAGAGGCUGUCAGGCUGACACUUAUUAUAAGCACUAGAUCUGUGUUACUGAUUGUAGAAUAUUGAAUAUACACUGACACUCACAUCCAAUAACCUUUUAAACUGAUAAUUAGUGGUGGUUAAUUGUUGUAACAUGAAGAUACAGUUUUUAGGUGACCCAGUAUGUCUGUCUAUUGAAAGUGCAUGCCAUAGAAAGUUACUGGAAUAUAAUUUAUUACAAUGAAAUUAGCUUCCAAAAAUAAGCUUUAAAACACAAAUAAAAUUAGAGCAACAGAUAAUUAUCUGCUAUGUGGCAUUCUGUAAAUCACGUCUUUAGGAGAUCAUAACUGAAAAACAUGCUUUCCUGGCAACACCCUUCUAUUUUCAUGGUGCAAAUAUUGAUAAUUUGAAGACCCUCAGUGGAAUCCAGCACUAGCUAUUGUUUUUAUGCUGUAACAAAAGUAGCAGCAGGAGGUGAAAUCAAUGCCCUUGGAGGGUAGGGUCACAAAAAAGAAUUUAUUGCCACUUUUUUUGUUCUGGAACAGUUUGCAAUCAUAAAUUCUUCAUAAACAGAAUACUUCAGAGAAUGGUCCGUCUUCAUAAAUAUACGACAGAGGACAUCAAUUUCAUUUAAUUCACAAUUUGUGUCAGCACAGCAGAUGCCAAUGCCUGCCUUGAUAGGGUUGUUUAAUAUGCAAUUGAGACAGAGUAAUAUUCAGCACAGGGGACAAAAUUUCACAGAUUAAACUGUACGCACCACUGACAUUUCAUUCUAAUGUAUUUCCAUUCCACAGUGUUCACCUUAGAUGAAAGUAAUAUUAAAAACCAUAUCCCUCUAUUUUGCCAUUGUUAGAAGUUAAAAUCCUUGUCUUUAAUUUUUUUCAUGCCAAUUAAAAUGUAAUCAUGCCAAUUAAAACAGUAUGUCUAGUGCUGUUAGUUUCUGCAGAGGUUUUUAUUAAAUUAAACAAAACUCUAUCAAACUCUUAUUAUUAUUCAUAAAACUGCAUUUAAAAGAAAAAAUGUAAUAGUUAUAUUUUAUUUUUCUGUAAAUGUUGAAAUUAAUGGCAAAUCUUAAUCUGGAGGUAUAUUUUGAUUUUAGCAUACUGAGAAGCAAAAGGCUGCAAAAUUUUUAAAGACUUUUUUUCUAGAUUUUUAGAAUUAUGAUCUUAUUUCAUAGUUUUAAAUCCUACCAGUUUUAAUCAGUGCCACAGAAUUAAGCUGAUUGUAUACACUGAAAUUCAUAAAUUUAAGGCUUACAUCUGAAAUUAUUUUAAAAAUAAAAGUUGUCAUGAUCAGAUGUAAAAGACUGGCUUAAUAAGUCCUUUUUUUAUCAGUAAAUUUAUUAAUGAUCAAACAAGUUCAAAAUGCUUAUGGUGAUGCUGCAGAUUAAAAGUAAUAAGAUCACUGGUCAUAAGGCAAAUUUUAAUAUUUUCUGACAAUUUGCACAUUUAGAGAAUCAAGUGAUUAGAAGCAACUGUGCUUAACUAAAAAAGCCCCCCCCUCUGAAAUGGCUAAUGCAUUACCACAUAACCUAAAGUGACACAAGUCAGUAUUUAAAAUGCUGUUGGCAGGUUGCAUGUAUAGCUUACUCAUAAUAUAUUAGAAAUAUUUUUUAAACUAGGAUAAUAACAUGCAAAAUUAUGCAAUGUAACUGUAUUCCUAAUAUCACACAUCUAUAAUUAAUCAUUUAAAGUAAUUUAUAAAUUUAUCUUACCCUUGAUUUGAAGUGAAGGCAAUUAAGGAGAGAAGUGGAUGGAAAAAUAUAUAGUUUGACCUCUCUCUCUCUCUCUCAGCUGUUUUACAACAAUAGGACAAUAGUGUCUCCUGCACAGUGCCAUCACCGGUCUCUGGGUAACAGAAUCCCUAUAUUGCUUUUUUUGCCAGAUUCUUGUAUCUCACUCUUUGGCUGAGACCCAGCCCAUCAUAGCGUGAAAUGAAUUACAUGAAACUUUUUUGGCUUUUGUCAAAAGUGAGAUGAAUACAGCAGCAUGAAACGUAUCCUGGCUGUAUUUUCAGCUUCAGGUAUGCAGAUUUGUACUGAAUCUGUAUAUUUGUUUUUGAGCCAUCAGUGUGACCUGAAAUAUGCAGUGACAACCCCACUUUUCAUCUUAAAGGUAUAGUAAAUAGUUAAACAGUAGAUGUCUCUAAUAUGUACCUUCAGAAUAAAUUCUAUUAACAUUCACUCAAGCAUGACAGUCAGUGUAUAUCAGAUAUACUGCAUUAUAGUUGACUUGGUGCAUACCCGUAAUACAUGGCAUAUUUUACUUACAUUUUUUAUGUAUUAAAGAACUAAAAUUAUUAAAGUCAGACAGGAGACAAGCAUGGAAUAAAAAAAAUCAGCACAAGAGGAAAAGGCUAUGGAGUUUUUAUAAUAGAAUGAGUAGCUUCUUUGAAACGUACGUGGUGGAUUGAAAGAGAGAGAUAUUUGUGCUCCAAAUUAGAAAUCAAACAGACAGUGUACUUCAACACACAAAAAUGUACACAUAACCCACAAACAGUAAUAAAAAUGCAAAUACCCCAAGCAGUUCCCAUUUUUCAUUAAUUGAAUCCACUUUUUCAAGGAGAUCGUUUGGUAGUAAAACACCACUUUUCUUCAGAGCUUCAACCUUACUAAGCAGUUCCAUCUUUUUCGGGUGCCUGAUUGACAUUUCUACAUUGUAUCUCUAAAAUGAAAAGAAAUAUGUGUUGUUAGCUGCUGUAGAGAAUCUUCUCCAUAAAAAAAAAAAAUUUUAA